rnacentral:lncRNA from 1 species
UCAUGCAACUGAAGGAACGCGUCGGGAUACAUACGAAAAUUAUCGAAGCACCGCCACCUUUCCCGCAGAUUGAGCUCAACCCAUUGCCGUUCGAUCAUGCGUGGCAAGUCAACUUGCGGGUUCACCACAGGACGCUGCCUCUUGUUCACCUCUGCAUAUGCGGCUGCAGCUGCUGCUAAACACUUUAGAUCGAACAUGACAAAGCUGCUAUCACUGUCGGUGUCACUGUUUG